rnacentral:rRNA from 1 species
CCUACGGGCGGCAGCAGUGAGGAAUAUUGGUCAAUGGGCGUAAGCCUGAACCAGCCAAGUCGCGUGAGGGAUGAAGGUUCUAUGGAUCGUAAACCUCUUUUAUAAGGGAAUAAAGUGCGGGACGUGUCCCGUUUUGUAUGUACCUUAUGAAUAAGGAUCGGCUAACUCCGUGCCAGCAGCCGCGGUAAUACGGAGGAUCCGAGCGUUAUCCGGAUUUAUUGGGUUUAAGGGGAUCGUAGGCGGCCUUUUAAGUCAGCGGGGAAAGUCUGUGGCUCAACCAUAGAAUUGCCGUUGAAACUGGGAGGCUUGAGUAUGUUUGAGGCAGGCGGAAUGCGGGGUGUAGCGGUGAAAUGCUUAGAGAUCACGCAGAACCCCGAUUGCGAAGGCAGCCUGCCAAGCCAUGACUGACGCUGAUGCACGAAAGCGUGGGGAUCAAACAGGAUUAGAUACCCGGGUAGUC